rnacentral:rRNA from 2 species
CUAUACAUGNAAGUCGAGCGGACAGAAGGGAGCUUGCUCCCGGAUGUUAGCGGCGGACGGGUGAGUAACACGUGGGUAACCUGCCUGUAAGACUGGGAUAACUCCGGGAAACCGGAGCUAAUACCGGAUAGUUCCUUGAACCGCAUGGUUCAAGGAUGAAAGACGGUUUCGGCUGUCACUUACAGAUGGACCCGCGGCGCAUUAGCUAGUUGGUGAGGUAACGGCUCACCAAGGCGACGAUGCGUAGCCGACCUGAGAGGGUGAUCGGCCACACUGGGACUGAGACACGGCCCAGACUCCUACGGGAGGCAGCAGUAGGGAAUCUUCCGCAAUGGACGAAAGUCUGACGGAGCAACGCCGCGUGAGUGAUGAAGGUUUUCGGAUCGUAAAGCUCUGUUGUUAGGGAAGAACAAGUGCAAGAGUAACUGCUUGCACCUUGACGGUACCUAACCAGAAAGCCACGGCUAACUACUUGCUCGCNNCCGCGGUAAUACGUAUGUGGCANGCGUUGCCCGGAACUACCGGCCGNNNAGGGCUCGCAGGNNGUCUCUCAGGUCUGAGGC